GGCACCUCAGUGGGAAGUCUGUGGGAAGGAAAAAGUGUGGCAAAAAACGCUGCACAACGAGAAGAGGUUACCGGACCCUGAGGAAGAUUGUGGAGAAGGACCGAUUCCAGACCUUGGGGGACCUGCGGAAGCAGUGGACUGAGUCUGGAGUAGAAACAUCCAGAGCCACCGUGCACAGGCAUGUGCAGGAAAUGGGCUACAGAGAAGCAGCACUGGACUGUUGCUCAGUGGUCCAAAGUACUUUUUUCGGAUGAAAGCAAAUUUUGCAUGUCAUUCGGAAAUCAAGGUGCCAGAGUCUGGAGGAAGACUGGGGAGAAGGAAAUGCCAAAAUGCCUGAAGUCCAGUGUCAAGUACCCACAGUCAGUGAUGCUGGUGUUGG